GAUGAACGCUGGCGGCGUGCCUAACACAUGCAAGUCGAGCGAGAAGUUUGAAAAAUGAGUUUUCGAACAAGUGAUUCAAACGGAAAGCGGCGGACGGGUGAGUAACGCGUAGGCAACCUGCCCCGUGCAGAGGGACAGCCUCGGGAAACCGGGAUUAAGACCUCAUGAUAUCGGGUUAUCACAUGGUAAUCCGGUCAAAGUUUUAUCGGCAUGGGACGGGCCUGAGUCUGAUUAGCUGGUUGGUGGGGUAACGGCCUACCAAGGCCACGACCAGUAGCAGAACUGAGAGGUGCAUCUGCCAAAUUGGAACUGAGACACGGUCCAAACUCCUACGGGAGGCAGCAGUGAGGAAUAUUGCACAAUGGGCGAAAGCCUGAUGCAGCAACGCCGCGUGAGCGAGGAAGGCCUUUGGGUCGUAAAGCUCUGUCCUUGGGGAAGAAACAAAUGACGGUACCCUUGGAGGAAGCCCCGGCUAACUACGUGCCAGCAGCCGCCGUAA
rnacentral:rRNA from 1 species